rnacentral:tRNA from 1 species
GCGGCGAUGGUGAAAUUGGUAGACACGCUAGCUUGAGGUGCUAGUGCCCUAACCGGCUUGGAGGUUCAAGUCCUCUUCGCCGCA